rnacentral:rRNA from 1 species
UGGCGGCAUGCUUAACACAUGCAAGUCGAACGGUAACAUGGAGAGCUUGCUCUCUGAUGACGAGUGGCGGACGGGUGAGUAAGGCGUAGGAAUCUGCCCAACAGUGGGGAAUAACCUGGGGAAACCCAGGCUAAUACCGCAUACGCUCUGUACUUAGGUAGAGAGGAAAGCGGGGGCCCUUUUCGAAGGCCUCGCGCUGAUGGAUGAGCCUACGUCCGAUUAGCUAGUUGGUAGGGUAAGAGCCUACCAAGGCGACGAUCGGUAGCUGGUCUUAGCGGAUGAUCAGCCACACUGGGACUGAGACACGGCCCAGACUCCUACGGGAGGCAGCAGUAGGGAAUAUUGGACAAUGGGCGCAAGCCUGAUCCAGCAAUGCCGCGUGUGUGAAGAAGGCCUGCGGGUUGUAAAGCACUUUCAGUAGAGAAGAAAAGCCUCGGGUUAAUACCCCGGAGUCUUGACGUAACCUACAGAAGAAGCACCGGCUAACUCCGUG